rnacentral:tRNA from 1 species
UAGAACGGCGGACUGUUAAUCCGUAUGUCACUGGUUCGAGUCCAGUCAGAGGAG